rnacentral:lncRNA from 1 species
CCUCACGGCUCGGUGUCAGAAGCGGCGGCGGUGGCUGCAGCUCCGACACCUUCGCACUCACUGAGCCAGUCUCAGUGCAAAGGCUGCUGCCUGCUGCUGGACUAACACUGACGGCCCCUCCUCGCCGCCGCCGCCGCGCAGCCGAGUGGCUCAGCGGAGAAGGCCCGCCCCACGCUGAGCUGCCCUCUCAUUGAGCCAAGGAAGCAUCAAUCACGCCGGCAGCCUGCCAAGCCUCUCCUCCUCCCUCUCCCUUCCCUCCACUCGCUCAAUGAGCCGCCGCCGCGUGCAGGGUAAACAAGGUAAAAUAUCCUUCCGCAGCGCAAGCAAGCUGUGUGUGUGAAAUAGAGGCUUUGUGAGUGAGGCAGCAGUUUCUCUCUCUCCCUCCCUCUCCCCCUCCCGAGCGGAUGCCACUGCCGCUCGUUAAUGGCGUUUCAUUGACCUCGAGUUGUUUCCGUUUGGUUCUCUCUGGAUGGAGGGUUGCUGCCUUGCCGCCGCCUUCUGUUUUAAUUGAGUGACUCCAGCUAAGCAUUUGGCCUUCUUUGUGAAUUAAACUGCUUAGUCAGCCGUCUUUAACUCACUUUUAUAUUUGCAUCCUGGCUUGCCCAAGAGAGGAGCAGAAGCAUACGCGUGGUUCUCGCCUUUAUACUAGUUUAGCCUCCCGCACCGGGAGCUCCAUGGCGCCCUGCCUGACUGGCCUGAUAGCUUUGGCUUACAUUAUCUGACUGAACCGAAUAAAACUUGGCAAUUGCUGUAAAAUGCAAGAGCAGUCGAUUUGAAGCCCUGAUGAAGAAGGCCUUCCCUGUUGUAAAGGGUCUCAACACGAUGCAGAAAUAUGGUCUGCAUGCAGGACACCAAAAAGCACUGAAACUGAUUAAGAAAAUGUUGGCCCACCCUUCUCAAUUAAGAGUUUCCAUAUGUGGGGCAGUGUAGAAACCUUCACGGAAGCAUAUAAUUAAAGUGCAACAUAUCUUGAUGAGUCUGACCAUUUCCAUUUGGCAACUUGUUCCUAACAAGAAUCUUUUUAUAGGUGUCACACCAUAGGGCUGUGUGCUUCUUCUACUAAUCCUGAAUGUUCUUAGCACACAAAAAUUUGAAUCUGAUAUGAAAUAGUUUCCUAAUACUCCCCUCACAACUUUGCAAUACGAUGAAUGAGAUCACGCACCAGAGCGAUUUUUCCAGUGUGAAUGAUCCUUCUGAUAUGUUUCCCCAGCUGCAGAAAAUAUAUUAAGCUGCUGCUGCUGCUUCCAGCAUAGGACCAUGGAUUGAAUUAUAAUGUGUGGCAUAUGGCAUGCCUGCCAGAAGCCACUGCAAUUAGAUAACUUACACUGGAUUAGAAAUAAAAAUGAUAAAGAAAAGUCA